GCGAACGAAGGGAGCAAGGUAUGGCGUCUCUGGCCCGGCCGAUCGCGCGCAGCAGGGGCCUCUAGAUCGUCGAAUCGGUCGAAAUAUGUGGAGAUCGAGAUGGGAAUAGGAGGCGCCGGGGAGAGGGAGAUUCUCAAGCUCGGGGAUCGCAGCACUAGCGACGUGAUUGUGCGCGUCGGGACUCCCGGCAGGGAUUGUAGCUUCUACGCUCACUCGGCGGUGCUCCGGCCUCGCAGCAGCUGCUUGGCGGCAAAUCUUGCCAAGGGCAGCGAUUCCAUCCUGCUGGGGUGCUGCGAGGAAGAUUUCGACUACUACGUGAUUCUUCUCCGGAUUUUCUAUGCAAUGCAGGAGGAUUUCUCCUCUGGUUCCUGCGGGAUCGUGGCAGAGGAAUGCUGCAACGUGAAGGCGACCAUCGGCGUGGCGAAAGUUGCCACGGAGCUGGGGUGCGAGGCCAUCGUCGAGAAAUGCUUCAAGUUUCUAGAGGGAAUUCCAUGGAACGAGGGUGAGGAGGAGGAGAUGUUACAGGCAUUGUCCGCGGGCAUUUGCUCCAGCGAUGAUCCGGUUCUAGCCAGGUUGCGGACAGUGGACAGUGCUGUGGUGCGAGAAGUUUUUCUCUCGGCGAUCAUCGCUGCUACCCGGGAGAGCGAUGCCGGCGUCUCGAUCAAGCGCAAAGUUUCCGCGCAGGAGCAAAUCGAGUACAUGCUGGUGGAAGACGACGACGCUCCGCUCAUCACUUCCGACAGCCAGAUCAAGUUGGCGUUCCGGGAAAAAUUCUGCGAGCUCUUCCAUCGUUUCAAGGACGUGAUCACGAUCGAGGGCGGUGGUGCUGAAACCUUCGAAGACGCUAUUCUGGAAAAGCUAGCGGACGUUGCUUGGGCCUCGCGUGUUCUGUCGAGGCUUGGCUCGCUCGACGAACUUGUUUUGGCCUGGUCGGACUUCUCCCCGGAGAUCGUGUUCGUCUUCCAGGACCCAGCCUUGAGCAGUGGGAUCAAACUCAAGGUGAUGGAGAUCACCUCAAAGGUUUUGGAAGCCGUCGGCUAUGGCAACGUUUUGAUACCGCCAACUCAAAGGACUGGGCUCGUGAAAGCUUGGCUUCCUUUCGUGAGAGACAUGAAGAUGGUGCUGCUGGAAGCCGAGUGCGUGGAAGAGACGAUGCUGCUUUACAACAGCAUCGAGGCCGCCAUAAACUCCCUCGUUUUGUCACUGCCGUCGGACGAUCAAGGCGUGAUCUUGGCCGAGUGGCUCAAGAACGAGAGGGCGAGCUAUCCCGACCUAAGCGAAGCGUUUGAGGUGUGGUGCUUCCGGAGUAAAGCAGCCAAACGCAGACUCAGUUGCGGCUAGAAAGGACUAUUGGCUUCUCUCGACGGCUUGCAGCGGAGCUUGUUACGUGGAGCUAGUAAACCGCAUUCGCCGACACUUUUCCGGAGAGAUGACACGCCCUCGCCGGAUGAGUUUGAUUGAGGAGACUUUUCUACGCUUGGAAAGUCAAUGUCUGCGGUGAACAGUAGGGAUUGCAGCGGCGGCACCUCAAUCGCGAGCUCUCUCAGUCUCUCAAACCCCUUCUUAUGGUGAGUGAGGAAAAGGUUAUAGCGUCUCAGAUGAGCACGAUUGUUCUAUAAACACUUCGUAUUUUUGUGAGGGAGUGAUUUGCAAAUCUCACACUCAUCGCAAGAUGCAGGAAGCUCGUGUGUGGUUUCACAACAACACCGAUUUUACUCUAAUGCUCUAUCGCAGUGUACGCUCUGUUUUAGACUCGACAAAGUUCACUGUGAUUGAAGCCCACAAGAAGAAGAAGAUCGCUAUCAAGCUAGGCUACAGUAUUGAGGUAAUGGCUUGUACAAACAAGGGGAGAUUAUCAACAGGUUUGUACAUAAGGAUGCAGGAUGUAAAGGAAAAUGUGAAGUAUUUCGAAGUAGAUGAUAUUGCCUGGAAAAACUUUAUCUUGAGUAACGACUUGGGCGAGAAAAUCAGGAGUGGCACCCUGUCUCACCAAGAAGAAGAGGAAAUAGAUAAAGGUUUUGUGUGGAACGUGGUAGCUGCCUUGUCCAAAUUCUUUUCAUUGGGCUCCAGCAGUAUUUACAAGCAGAGUUUGAAAUAAAAUCAUGUUGGUUUGCUUAA